CUAGGCGACAGAUUCCUAGCUGUCGACGAUGACAGCCAUGACUGAACCCGGUUCCACUCUACGGAUGCAGGCAGUGGGGAUACUGCCAUUGCGCGCCAAGCUUGAUGCAGCAUGCGUAUGUAUGAGCAUGCUUCCGGAUGUAAGCUACUUUCAGCGAGGAGAGGCGUGAGUCAAUCACUCGCCGAUGACGUUACCGGCAGAAGCAGCACUGCUAACUCCGUGCCAGCAGCCGCGGUACUACGGAGGUGCAAGCGUUAAUCGGAAUUACUGGGCGUAAGCGCACGCAGGCGGUCUGUUAAGUCAGAUGUGAAAUCCCCGGGCUUAACCUGGGAACUGCAUUUGAAACUGGCAGGCUUGAGUCUCGUAGAGGGGGGUAGAAUUCCAGGUGUAGCGGUGAAAUGCGUAGAGAUCUGGAGGAAUACCGGUGGCGAAGGCGGCCCCCUGGACGAAGACUGACGCUCAGGUGCGAAAGCGUGGGGAGCAAACAGGAUUAGAUACCCUGGUAGUCCACGCCGUAAACGAUGUCGACUUGGAGGUUGUGCCCUUGAGGCGUGGCUUCCGGAGCUAACGCGUUAAGUCGACCGCCUGGGGAGUACGGCCGCAAGGUUAAAACUCAAAUGAAUUGACGGGGGCCCGCACAAGCGGUGGAGCAUGUGGUUUAAUUCGAUGCAACGCGAAGAACCUUACCUGGCCUUGACAUCCAGAGAACUUAGCAGAGAUGCUUUGGUGCCUUCGGGAACUCUGAGACAGGUGCUGCAUGGCUGUCGUCAGCUCGUGUUGUGAAAUGUUGGGUUAAGUCCCGCAACGAGCGCAACCCUUAUCCUUUGUUGCCAGCGAUUCGGUCGGGAACUCAAAGGAGACUGCCGGUGAUAA
rnacentral:rRNA from 1 species